CAGUCGCCACGGUAAUACGUAGGUGGCAAGCGUUGUCCGGAAUUAUUGGGCGUAAAGGGCUCGCAGGCGGUUUCUUAAGUCUGAUGUGAAAACCCCCGGCUCAACCGGGGAGGGUCAUUGGAAACUGGGAAACUUGAGUGCAGAAGAGGAGAGUGGAAUUCCACGUGUAGCGGUGAAAUGCGUAGAGAUGUGGAGGAACACCAGUGGCGAAGGCGACUCUCUGGUCUGUAACUGACGCUGAGGAGCGAAAGCGUGGGGAGCGAACAGGAUUAGAUACCCGUGUAGUCCCUGUCUCUUAUAC
rnacentral:rRNA from 1 species